rnacentral:rRNA from 1 species
UACGAGAGGUCCAAACGUUAUUCGGAAUCACUGGGCUUACAGAGUUCGUAGGCGGUCCAGAAAGUGGGGUGUGAAAGCCCUCGGCUCAACCGAGGAACUGCGCUCCAAACUACUGGGCUAGAGGAAGAUAGAGGUGAGCAGAACUGAUGGUGGAGCGGUGAAAUGCGUUGAUAUCAUCAGGAACACCGGAGGCGAAGGCGGCUCACUGGGUCUUUUCUGACGCUGAGGGACGAAAGCUAGGGGAGCGAACGGG